AUGGUCACCUCUGCUGAUGAGCUCUGCACGGUCACCUGCAGCUUGCCACACUGGCCAAACAGGAACCCAGUGGUGUUCAGUGGAAUUCACCUAAUGGACAAGAAAUCUCCUGAUGUGUUUUAAAGGGCCAGGACUGGACAGGAAGAGCAAUGAUUUGGGAGUGGGUCAUAAACAGGAGUCUAUUAGGUUGAAGAAGAAAAUUAUGUCAAGGGAGCAUUUAAGCACCAAACUUAAUAUGUCACUAAUCUCAGCCCCGGCAAUAUUUGCUCCCUCUCUCAACUAAAUUUAUUAAAGUAAAACAAGUUACCCUUGCCAAUGACCAUGUUAUACACACACUGGUAACAUUUUACACAACAUUAUUCACUUUGGCACAGGCCCCCCAAAAUCAUGAGAUUGGCUUAAAAGCAUGAGAUUUAAAAAAUAAUAAAUUUGGGGUUCUUUUCAUUUGC